CUACGCACUCCUACGGGAGGCAGCAGUGGGGAAUAUUGCACAAUGGGCGCAAGCCUGAUGCAGCCAUGCCGCGUGUAUGAAGAAGGCCUUCGGGUUGUAAAGUACUUUCAGCAGUGAGGAAGGUGGGUAUGUUAAUAGCAUACUCAUUUGACGUUAGCUGCAGAAGAAGCACCGGCUAACUCCGUGCCAGCAGCCGCGGUAAUACGGAGGGUGCGAGCGUUAAUCGGAAUUACUGGGCGUAAAGCGCAUGCAGGUGGUUUGUUAAGUCAGAUGUGAAAGCCCGGGGCUCAACCUCGGAAUUGCAUUUGAAACUGGCAAACUAGAGUACUGUAGAGGGGGUAGAAUUUCAGGUGUAGCGGUGAAAUGCGUAGAGAUCUGAAGGAAUACCGGUGGCGAAGGCGGCCCCCUGGACAGAUACUGACACUCAGAUGCGAAAGCGUGGGGAGCAAACAGGAUUAGAUACCCUGAUAG
rnacentral:rRNA from 1 species